rnacentral:rRNA from 1 species
CCUACGGGUGGCAGCAGUAGGGAAUUUUGCUCAAUGGGCGGAAGCCUGACGCAGCAACGCCGCGUGAUUGAUUAAGCCCUUCGGGGUGGUAAGAUCUUUCAGUGGGGACGAAACUUGACGGUACUCACAGAGGAAGCACCGGCUAACUCCGUGCCAGCAGCCGCGGUAAUACGGAGGGUGCAAGCGUUGUCCGGAAUCAUUGGGCGUAAACGGUUUGUAGGUGGUAUAUUAAGUCUGGUGUUAAAUGCUGAAGCUCAAAUUCUGUUCGGCACGGGAUACUGGUAAGCGUGAGUGGGAUAGAGGUAAAGGGAAUUCCUGGGGGAGCGGUGAAAGGCAUAGAUAUCAGGAAGAACAUCGGUGGCGAAGGCGCUUUGCUGGGCCGUAAUUGACGCUGAGGAACGAAAGCCGGGGUAGCAAAUGGGAUUAGAUACCCGUGUAGUC